UCUCUUAAAAUUGAUGAAAAAUAUCGUUAAUCCAUCUUUAAUUAUUGUAUAGACUAUUUUCUUACUUCUUUUCUUCUUCAACGUUACUAUCCCAAGUUGGUGAUGGUAGCAAUGGUAGUUAAUGAUGGUGGUGGGGAUGGUGGUGGUUGUGGUGGUAAUAGUAGUAGUAGUAAUCGGGGUACUAUAUAGUGGUGGUAGCAAAAUGAUAGUGGUGGUGGCGGUGGUUGUGGUUGUGAGGGGUAACUACGCCCUGCCGGCCUUGUUAAGUCUGCCGGCCUCGUUCCCCCCUGGCUCCUCCUACUUCCGAGCCGACGUCAUACCCCGGCUGGCGGGCUAAGGCAGACACCAGCUCGCCACCAUGGAGUGCACACCUCGCCUUCUCAACCUCACGCUGGUCCUUCGUCUCGCUGGGAAAGCUGCGUGUCUGGGCUCCUUACUGCUUCUCCCCUGGCUGCACCGCCCGACUAAGUCACCACUGCUGUCUCCCACUGCACUCCAGCCUAUGGACUUCACUUCCCUGGCCUUUAGCUGAGAGGAUUACAACCGGUGCACCCAACCCCGGUGACUCGGCAGGCCAACCCCUUUUGCACACUACAGUGGUUUGAUUACUUUUUGGUCGUGUUUGUUGUUUUUUUGUGUUAAUACUUACCCUUAUUUUGUGCUGUUUUCCCCUCCAAAGGGCUAUUAGGGGAUUCCUGGCUAUUACAUCUUAAUAUUGAGGGUAAGAUCGUGGCCUCUCGUUUUCCCUUAUGUGGCGACCUCGCCAGGAUUCUUGCCUUUGGACAAGUCUGAUUAAUUGUUUAACCUGUUCCAGUCCCUUGGAAGGAUUACAGCUUUGAAGUCGCAUUGAGCGCGCACUCGCUGUCUGACGCCCGGAGCGCAGUCCAACUAGCUGAUGAUUGGACCACGGCACACUACUCCAGUCGAUCCUCAGCCAAACCUGCUCCCCGACCCUUGAAGCCCACGUCGAAGACUUCACCACCAGCUCGCACGUCAUCCACACAGACUACUUCCUCCACUAAAAGUGUCAUGGCUGUAGCGAGUUAGGCCGCAUUAGGCCCCGGUGUCCCAAGAAUCCACGGGCCUUCAAAGAGUCUUCAACCUUUCACGGUAGGAUUUUGCCUCUCUGAGCAGAGUGUUCCUCGACCCCUUGUUGCCGGUAUUGUUAAAGUUCCUCGACCCCUUGUUGCCGGUACUGUCAAUGGAUCUUGUACGUCUUCCAUCUUUAGGGAUUCUGGGUGUACCUGCAUUGCCGUGGCCGACGAAGUUCUCACUGAUGCCGACCUCACCAUCUGCCGCCGGCGUCAGGUAGCAGACUACCUGGGGCGGGUUGACACCUUCCCUGUUCUCCACUGUUACAUCAGUUGUCCCUACUUUGAAGGCUGGACUGACUUAGUCCUGGCUCCCAUCAAGUUUGCCAGAGUCUUGAUUGGCGAUGUCCCUGGGGUACGGGUCCCUAAGGAGCCUUCCUUGGGCUUGUCAUUGUACCUCAUGUUUAUCCCGCAGGCAACUGAAUACACCGGCCCUUUGUCAGAUUUGCUCAAGAAGAAUGUUUCCGAACCGUUGGCUUGGAGUGAAGACUUGCUGGUGCGGUUCAAACACCUCAAGGAUAAGUUGGUCUCGCCACCAGUGCUUCGUCUGCCGAACCCGGAUCUGAUCUUCGUUCUGAGGACCGAUGCCUCCAGCCGCGGGAUUGGAGCAGUCCUUCUGCAGUACUACAGCGACUGUCCACAUCCCGUCGCCUAUGCCAGUCGGAAGUUACUCGACCGUGAAACAAGGUACUCCAUGAUUGAAUGAGUGCCUUGCAGUCAUCUUCGCCAUCAACAGGUUGACUUCUACCUACGCGGUAAGAGUUUAUUUUAGAGGUAGAUCACAAGCCUCUUUUGUACCUGUCAACAUUCAAAGGAAUGAAUGAUAGACUGCUUCGCUGGGCUUUGUCUCUUCAAGCCUACAAGUUCAGAGUCGUUCAUGUGGCAGGCAAAGAUAAUUUGGGUGCUGACCUACUGAGCAGGUCUUGUUAACUUUUGGUGUAAUCUACUUCCAGCAGAUUCUUGUUUGGGGGGCCGUGUGAUGGGUAACUACGCCCUGCCGGCCUUGUUAAGUCUGCCGGCCUCGUUCCGCCCUGGCUCCUCCUACUUCCGAGCCGACGUCAUACCCCGGCGGGCUAAGGCAGACUCCAGCUCUCCACCACGGAGUGCACACCUCGAUUUCUCAACCUCACGCUGGUCCUUCGUCUCGCUGGGAAAGCUGCGUGUCUGGGCUCCUUGCUGCUUCUUCCCUGGCUGCACCGCCCGACCAAGUCACCACUGCUGUCUCCCAGUGCACUCCAGCCUAUGGACUUCACUUCCUUGGCCUUUAGUUGAGAGGAUUACAACCGGUGCUCCCAACCCCGGUGACUCGGCAGGCCAACCCCUUUUGCACACUACAGUGGUUUGUUUACUUUUUGGUCGUGUUUGUUGUUUUUUUGUGUUAAUACACUCGCCCUUAU